UUACUGGCAUGAGGCACUGCACCUGGCCAUUUUCUGUUAACUCUCUGAAAUUAAUUUUCAUUUAGUCUGUUACAAAAGUAGUUAUUCUUAUUUUCCCCUAUGAAGGCAUAGAGUCAGUAAAGAGAUUUAUAAUGAAGCUAUGUGGUCACUUUAAUGCAUAUCUUUGUAGCUGCCCAUAGAAGAAUUUUCUAUUGACCGUGGAAACCCCGUCAUAAGAAACAGGCUCAGCGUCACUCUAGCUGAGUUCAAGUAGUUUACUUAACCCGUCUGUUUCCAUACUGGUAAAAUGGGUUAUGGUGAAGAUUAGAGCUGAUACAGUUUAAGCACUCAGCUACCCUCUUGCAAGUGAGGAUACUAUAUUUAGAGAGGAACCCAUUCCCAACCUCUCCCCAGGGAAUAGCAGCAGGAGGGUGCUGGGUUGUAGACCAGUGUUGAGACUUGCAAGUAGUCUUUGGCACCAUAGGGCCAUGCAUAUUCACUCAUCAAAUUCAGCCGUGUGUGUGUGUGUGUGUGUGUGUGUGUGUGUGUGUGUGUGUGUUUGUGACCCUACUCUGUGCCAGGUACUGUUUCAGGUAUUAGGGAUACUGCUGUGAAUAAAACAGAGACGCUGUCCCUGCGGAUGGAGACAAGUAAUAAGUAAAGAAACAUAGAUGGAGAUCUGUGCUAUAAAGAAAUAGCAGAGAGCAGGCAUGUUGGCUCAUCCCUAUAAUCCUAGCGCUUUGGGAGGCCAAAGCGAGAGGAUCACUUGAGUCUAGGGGUUCAAGUCCAGCCUGGGCAACAUGGUGAGACUACGUCUCUACUUAAAAACAACAACAACAACAACAACAAAAACAGAGUAUGGAGAUAGAGAAUGAUCAAGUGGGAGGGAAUUGUUUUGGAUAGGACUUUCAGAUCAAGUAAGGUCAGAUCAGCCUCUCAUCAGAAGACACUUGUAGCAGAGUACUUACUAAGGAAGUGAAGGAGCUCUGAGUUUGUCAUAUGAAUAUUGGGAAAAAGAAUGUUCCAGGCAGUGGAAACAGCAUGAGCAAAGGCCCUGAGGCAAUAGCAUACUUAGUGUGUUCCACUAAGGAGGGCAAUGUUGUGUCUGGAGUGGAGUCAACAAGGAAGAGAUUAAGCUAGAGACUGAGGUCAGAGAGAAGGGUGAGGUGGCCAGAUCAUAUGAGGCCUUGUAAAUCAAGAUAAGGACUUUCUUUGGCUUUUGAGUAAAAUGGGAAACCAUAGAGAUUUUUGAGCAGAGGAGUGACAUCAUCUGACUUCAAAGGAGUUUUUAUAGUGUGAUGUGGGCUUUUCUAGGCUCAGGCAAGAGGUGGACAGGGUGAACGGGGAAUAGAUCUUGCAGAGCUGAGCAUUCCAACAUGGAGGCCUCUAGCCAUAAGUGGCUACUUAAAUGUAAAUUCAUUAAAAUUUUAAAAAUUAAAAAUUCAUUUUCUCAGUUGCACUAGUCACAUUUCAAAUUCACAGUAGCCACAUGUAGCAAGUGGCUACAGUAUUGGACAGUGAGAUGUAGAUCAUUUCCAUUGCCACAAAAAGUUUUGUUGGACAGUGCUGGUAGGGUAUUAAAGGCCUUUGUAGGGAGUUCGGCUUUUACUCUGAGUAAACAGAAAGCCAUUGGAGGGUUUUAAGCAGAGGAGGAACAUGCUCUGACUUAUGAUUUCAAAAGAUCACUGUUGAGAAUAGACUGUAACGGGACAAUGGUGAAAGCUGAAAGACCAUUAAUAGUCUAGAUGACAGAUGACCAUGUCUUUGAUGAGGGGGUAGGAGUGAUCAUGAUGAGAAAUUAUUGGAUUUUGGAUAUAUUUUGAAGGCAGAACCAAUAGGCUUUUCUGAUUAAAAUGAUGCGAUAUGAGAAAACAGUGACAAAAAGGUUGUGGGUGAUGAUGAGAGAAGAGAAUGUAAGGCAAAAGAGAAGGGAUUUCUCCUUGUGGAGGAGGAGUCUCAUUCACCUUGAAGCAGGAGUGAAAGCAGGGAUUUGGGUGUAAAAAGAUUUAGAGAGUCCUCAUCUAAGCAGAAGAUGAAGGAGUAAAGAGAGAGAGAUGGCUGUAUUGGAAGUUUGAAGGUGAUGGAGAAAGUUUCAAAUAAUUGUUGGAAAAUGAGUUGUAAAAAGAAACAUAACACAGUUGUUACAGCAGGGCAUGGUUGCUUGUUCCUAUAGUCCCAGCUACUUGGAUCCUGAGGCAGGAGGAAUUCUUGAGCCCAGGAGUUGGAGGCUGCAGUGAGUUGUGUUUAUGCCACUGCACUCCAGCCUAGGCGACAGAGCAAGACUCCAUUUCUUAAAAAUAAAACAAAAAUGCAGUUGUUAGUAUUGAGGGCCCAUAAGAAGUUGGUGACCAUGAACCUAUCUAUGCUUUUGAUCACCUCCAGCAGAGUGUGACAGUUGUGUGCAAGCAAAGAGAAAGGAGAUGGCAGGGUUCAACGAGGGCUGUUGUUUUCCUAGAUACGUUUGUAGAAAAAACAGAGAAGAAGGGAGUUUAAGGGACUGGUAAAAAGGAUAUUGUAAUAACAGACCAUGGACUAGAAAUUGAAUAAGAAGGAAAGUGAAAACAGCUGAAGGCUAAUGAAUUGGGAGAAAGCAGAGGGAUCAGUAGACUGGAGGCCCCAAUAUUUCUAAGAGCAGUUGGAGUUGUUGUCAUGCAAGUUGGAAGGAAAGAUGCUUAUCCAAAAGCUGAAUGCCUGAAUCAGUAAUCUUGCCGGCAGAGCUAUUGUAGGUGAUGACAAAGUCAGUCCUUUGAAGUCUAUGCAUAUAUAUCUUCAUUAUAGGUUGACUUGCCAAGUCUUAGAAUUUUAUACAAUAUAACCUCACUGUGGAUCUCAUCUAAGCAGGUUUGGUAACCAAAAGCUCAAGAGUGUGAGAUUGGGAGCCCAGAGAGCUACCCUACAGCUCAUAGCCUGUCACAAACCAGCCGUGUAACCAUGGACCUUGAGGAAAUGAACCUUAUGGUCCCUUCUAUCUCUAAUCUGUGACUCCGUAGCCCCAUUAUAAUAUAGCCUUUUCCCAAACACUGACCUUCAACAUAGACCCUGGGGGAUUUUUCUAUUAACAAUUUGCAACUCUGCACAUUUUUAUCUGCUGAUGCCUCUUGGAAUAUUAAAUGCUUAGAAAGCUGUCCUGGGGAUCACUUUCUGGAAUCUUGACCAUGUAGUCAUCUGAGUGGGUGUGACAGGAAUUAUACACCAGCAGCAUUUGUAUCUAAGUGUCCUUCAGGCACUGGGAUGGCUGCACCUUUACCAAUCCUCUCCAACUCUCUCCACCUAGAAAACAUUCUUUUCUCUUAAUUUUGUUAGAGCUAUAUAGGAAUGCUCCUUCAGCCGAAAUGACAGAGGCUGUUGCUCUCAGAAUCAAAUGCAAUAAUGUGACCUGUAAAUUCCUAUGAAUAUAUUGAUAUUUUAGGGAUAUUUGUUUAUUCAGAAGAGAUUCCAGACACAGAACUCUCUUCCUCUCUGUUCCCUAACCCUGCUUUUUGCCAUCGUUCUUCUCUCUCUAGGGCACAGAGAGAAUUAAGAACAAUCUAAGGUAAAUUUUUAACAAGAUGGUCUAGCUUGAGCUCUGUAGGCUUGAAUGAUUAAAUAAGUAGCAGUUUUUUUGCUAAAAUAACCACAUUGUUUGCAAAAGUUUUCUCCUUUGAGUUUUCUACGGUUAUUACAGUGAUCUAACUGCCUUACCUGCUUUUGGACUGGUUGAGCCUCUUGUGGGACAGAAAACAAAAGGGUGUUGAAAUGCAAAUAGAUAACUCUGGGUCCCAGUCCCUGACUGCAAAAGGAAGCCAAAACUGACAACAACGUUUCCUUCUCUACGGAGGUUUGUAGAAAAGCUGUACAAAAAUCUCACAAGAUGUAUUUCUUCUCGUGGACUGGAGUCCCAAGGUAGGUAAGAAAAACAAAAACAAGAUAAAAACAAACAAAGGAUUCCGUACUUGGAAUUUGCUCAGUACCAGUUGAAUAGCUAAUUGUUUCUUGUGUUCUUCCCCUCCCCCCUUUUUUUUCUGCCUGAAUAGAUAAUCCUUACAAAACAUCUAUUCAUUCUACAAGUGAAAAUUUCAAGAAUAUUCGAUACUGACCUUGGCAAGAGUAAUGGACCGAGAUUGAGUGAUGAAUUUGUGUGUGUUGUGGCUGAUGUGCAUUUUGGUGCUUUGUAUGCAAGUUGAAGAAUAUCUUAGCAAUAGGAAAAGAAGAUUUAUGACAUUUUAAUUAAUGAAUAUAAUGAAGGCUAAAACUUGUAGAUAAAUUUAUAAGGUACACAAUUAUUUUUAUUGCUUUUUUUUUUUUUUUUAGCACAAAGGUGAUUGUAUUUUGUUGCUUUAAGAAAGGACCUCCUGAUAAUACUGGCUUGCUUUUAUAUUUCAAUAUGACCAGUUUAAUUGAUACGCAAACAAUUAUUUUUUAAGGGAAAUAAAAUGAGGCAGUAGUACAACUUAGUGAAGAGGACACUGUGUCAGAUUCUUAAUUACUAGAUUAAAUUUGAGCUCUUAUUUGGCUUUUACUACCAACUGACUGCAUAACUUGGGUAAGUUAUUUGGCUCUUUUUUUUUUUUUAAUUUACAAAAUUAGAAUGAAAACUAUGGAUAGUGAAAAUAUUUGGAAAAGCUUUUUGAAAUCCCACGUGAAAGGCAUCAGAAAAAAGAGUUGGGUGAUUUUUUUUUUUUAAUGGGAAAUAAUCUGAUAUUGUCAGUAAACCUGAAUUUUUUGUAUAUUAAUUUAUUUUUUAAGCUGUUAUUUAAUUUCAGGUGCUUAAGAGCGCUUCAAUUUGUUAAUGGAAAGAAACACCAUUUACACCGGAUGGCUACAAAGCAACCUUAUUCUGGAUAGCUUGUCAGUGCCCGCUUGGGUUUUUGAAUUCUGACUUUUUGCUGACCGUGAUUUGGCUGUCUCAUUAAUAAGUUCUUUAGAACUAUACUGGAAGAAACCAAUUCACCUCAAAUACCAAGGAAAUGGGUGUGAUGUAGGAGGCAGAAGAGUAGCCUUUUCCGUGCUGCCGGCAGAAUGGAGACAGACCUGGGCUUGCACCCACCGCCCAGACCCAGGAGUGGAUGGUUCAACGUGUACUGUAAGGCUAAAGAAGGUUGGCCAGGCAUGGUGGCUCAUGCAUGUAAUCCCAACACUUUGGGAAGCCAAAGCAGGCGGACCGCUCGAGCG